GGUCAGAAUAAGAAAUGAGACAAUCACAGGUGGGAGAGAAAUCUAAGAAAGUGCAGGAAAAGAGGUAGAAGUGGUGUGGAUGUGUGAUGAGGAGAGACAAUGAAGAUGUGGGAAAAGUGUGAUGGGCAUGGGAAACAGAAAGUGAGGGAAUCCAACAUGGAGGUGGACGGAGAAAGUAAAAGAAGAUCUGAAGGACAAGGAGGUGCAGGACUGAGCUGUAUGGUGUAGAAAUCAGAGGCGCUCCAGCAGUCCCAACCCCGACAUGGACAGGCAGAGACUCGAGUUCUAGCACGGCACACUUUUCUUUACAGGUGGGGAAAUGCCUUUCAGGACAAAGAACACCAAAUACACGUCCCUUCUGUCUCUCCUUUUCUUCUCCUUUCCACCUCCACGCCUCCACGGUCAAGCUUCAUCCCUCUUCCUCCCAAAUGUGGCUCCCCGAAUGGAGUGAGUUGACUCUUUUUACAGCUGUUACAGCAUGGAGUACUUCUGGUGGCUCAUCAGCAUUAACUGGAAUCACUCCCAGGUGAGAUGGAAACCCAAAGUAGGGUUCUACAGCUCCCCCUGGCGGCCAACCACGGAAACCCAACAGGGCUGUGCUAAAACUCCAACUCCCAGCAUGCCUUGUGGAAAUCUGUGGUGCCACAGCUGCCCAGGAUGGCUGCCCUCUAGCAUCCCGGGGAAGGUAGUGCCUUGUGAAUGCUCUCCCUCCCCGGGUCCUUCCAUCCAAUGGGUAAUGGCCGUGGCUGCCCGUCACAAUGGAGAAGGUUGAUCAGGAACAUUGACCCUACAUAGAAGUAGAAAAAGACAUAGAAGAAGAAGGAGAAGAAGAAGAAGAUCAUUCUGAUGACAAGGCGAAGGAGGUGGAUAGGCCACGUGUUGAGGUGAGAUGCAGCUUCCAUCACCAAAACUGCUCUAUAUUGGAGUCUAGCAGAAG